rnacentral:rRNA from 1 species
UACGAAGGGGGCUAGCGUUGCUCGGAAUCACUGGGCGUAAAGCGCACGUAGGCGGAUCUUUAAGUCAGGGGUGAAAUCCUGGAGCUCAACUCCAGAACUGCCUUUGAUACUGGGGAUCUCGAGUCCGGAAGAGGUGAGUGGAACUCCGAGUGUAGAGGUGAAAUUCGUAGCUAUUCGGAAGAACACCAGUGGCGAAGGCGACUUACUGGACGACUGUUGACGCUGAGGUGCGAAAGCGUGGGGAGCAAACAGG